rnacentral:rRNA from 1 species
UACGUAGGGUGCAAACGUUGUUCGGAAUCACUGGGCUUAAAGGGCGCGUAGGCGGGCUGUCCAGUCUGGGGUGAAAUCCCGCGGCUCAACCGUGGAACUGCCUCAGAUACUGACGGCCUCGAGGGAGAUAGGGGCAUGCGGAACUGUAGGUGGAGCGGUGAAAUGCGUUGAUAUCUACAGGAACUCCGGUGGCGAAGGCGGCGUGCUGGAUCUCUUCUGACGCUGAGGCGCGAAAGCUAGGGGAGCAAACGGG